GAUGAAGAACGUAGCGAAAUGCGACAAGUAAUGUGAAUUGCAGAAUUCCGUGAAUCAUCGAAUCUUUGAACGCACAUUGCGCCCCUUGGUAUUCCGAGGGGCAUGCCUGUUCGAGCGUCAUUAUAACCCCUCAAGCUCAGCUUGGUGUUGGGGCCUGCUGCACUGGCAGCCCUUAAAAUCAGUGGCGGCGCCAUCUGGCUCUAAGCGUAGUAAUUCUUCUCGCUAUGGAGUCCUGGUGGAUGCUUGCCAUCAACCCCCAAUUUUUCUAUGGUUGACCUCGGAUCAGGUAGGGAUACCCGCUGAACUUAAGCAUAUCAAUAAGCGGAGGA
rnacentral:misc_RNA from 1 species